UACAGAGGUGGCAAGCGUUGUUCGGAAUUACUGGGCGUAAAGGGCGCGUAGGCGGCCGCCUAAGUCAGACGUGAAAUCCCCAAGCUUAACUUGGGAACUGCGUCUGAUACUGGGUGGCUUGAGUUCGGGAGAGGAAUGUGGAAUUCCAGGUGUGGCGGUGAAAUGCGUAGAUAUCUGGAGGAACACCGGUGGCGAAGGCGGCAUUCUGGACCGAAACUGACGCUGAGGCGCGAAAGCCAGGGGAGCAAACGGG
rnacentral:rRNA from 1 species